rnacentral:rRNA from 1 species
GAUAUUUAACGCGUUAACUGCGGCACCGAAUUUCAAKCCCGACACCUAAUAUCCAUCGUUUACAGCGUGGACUACCAGGGUAUCUAAUCCUGUUUGCUCCCCACGCUUUCGUACCUCAGCGUCAGUBCUCGUCCAGUUGGCCGCCUUCGCCACCGGUGUUCCUCCAGAUAUCUACGGCUUUCACUCCUACACCUGGAAUUCCGCCAACCUCUCCGAGACUCUAGCACUCCAGUUUCAAACGCAAUUCCUCGGUUGAGCCGAGGGCUUUCACGUCUGACUUGAAGCGCCGCCUACGCACGCUUUACGCCCAGUGAUUCCGAUUAACGCUCGCACCCUCCGUAUUACCGCGGCUGCUGGCACGGAGUUAGCCGGUGCUUCCUCUAGAGGUACCGUCAGUGAAUGGACGUAUUAUGACCAAACAGUUUCUUCCCUCUUGACAGUAGUUUACGACCCGAAGCCUUCUUCCUACACGCGGCGUCGCUGCGUCAGGGUUUCCCCAUUGCGCAAUAUUCCCACUGCUGCCUCCCGUAGAGUCUGGGCCGUGUUUCAGUCCCCGUGUGGCUGAUCCUCCUCUCAGACCCGCUACUCAUCGUUGCCUUGG